rnacentral:tRNA from 1 species
GGCCCUAUGGCGCAGAUGGCAGCGCGUCGGCUUCCAGUUCCGAAGGUCAUCCGUUCAAAUCGGGUUGGGGUCA